GCCAUCUUCUUUUAGGGCAGCCUGAAGCCACAGCGCUAAUACGUCAGUUAAGGGAAAGAGUAACAGUAUAUGACAGCUAGGUGGCCGCUUCUGGAACCCAGCAUGUCCGGCUUCCAUCCGUAUAAACCCAGGCAACUGGAGUCACAGCUGCAGAAAACGCUAAAGCGAUUGUCUUCCUGCCCUUCUGUAUUUGGAGCCCUUUCCAAGGCCGUCCUUGACUCUCCUGCCUCACCCACUCGAGUGCUACAGUCACUGGAAUAUGCGACUAAAGAAGCACAACACCUACACUUCUUAUUGGGCUUUGAAAUUGUAGCCCCAACGCCCACAGCCUGGGGGUGGGCGGAGCCUUGUCCUCGGGAAAACUCGGCGGUGGGAGGGGUCUCCUCUCGAAGAGCUUCCGGAACCUUUCGGGCAGAGGCGGAGUCUUCUGCCGAGGGCCCUUCGGAAAGAGGCGGAGCUUAUCUCGCAUCAGGACCAGUCCGACUGCACCUGCAUCCUUAGCUCAGAGCAUCCCAGGAGCAUCUAAGAGGAAAGCGCAGCUAGCAACCAGGGAUCCGACUGUCGCAGGGGCAGUCUGCCAGGCACCUUCCCCUCCCCUGAUCCGGAGGUCUACAGCCGCGGCCUCGGUACUCACCGAGAUUCCCAAAGUUGUCUGACCUCUGCAAAAGUGUUGCUACCAACAGCCUCUGAUUACAACAUGGCUGAGAUCACAAAUAUACGCCCCAG
rnacentral:lncRNA from 1 species